UAGGGAAUCUUCGGCAAUGGGGGGAACCCUGACCGAGCAACGCCGCGUGAGUGAAGAAGGUUUUCGGAUCGUAAAGCUCUGUUGUUAAGGAAGAACGAGUGUGAGAAUGGAAAGUUCAUGCUGUGACGGUACUUAACCAGAAAGGGACGGCUAACUACGUGCCAGCAGCCGCGGUAAUACGUAGGUCCCGAGCGUUGUCCGGAUUUAUUGGGCGUAAAGCGAGCGCAGGCGGUUAGAAAAGUCUGAAGUGAAAGGCAGUGGCUCAACCAUUGUAGGCUUUGGAAACGGGUUAACUGGAGUGCAGAAGGGGAGAGUGGAAUUCCAUGUGUAGCGGUGAAAUGCGUAGAUAGAUGGAGGAACAACGGUGGCGAAAGCGGCUCUCUGGUCUGUAACUGACGCUGAGGCUCGAAAGCGUGGGGAGCGAACAGG
rnacentral:rRNA from 1 species